UUGGAUUAAUGCCCCAUAGCAUUACGACUUGGCAUCAAGAUGUAAUUAAAGUUCCAACGGUAUAAGAUGAGCAUGCGUCCCAUUAGUUAGUUGGUAAGGUAACGGCUUACCAAGACGAUGAUGGGUAGGGGUCCUGAGAGGGAGAUCCCCCACACUGGUACUGAGACACGGACCAGACUCCUACGGGAGGCAGCAGUGAGGAAUAUUGGUCAAUGGUCGCAAGACUGAACCAGCCAUGCCGCGUGCAGGAAGACGGUCCUAUGGAUUGUAAACUGCUUUUAUACAGGAAGAAACCCUCCCACGUGUGGGAGCUUGACGGUACUGUAGGAAUAAGGAUCGGCUAACUCCGUGCCAGCAGCCGCGGUAAUACGGAGGAUCCAAGCGUUAUCCGGAAUCAUUGGGUUUAAAGGGUCCGUAGGCGGUCUUAUAAGUCAGUGGUGAAAGCCCAUCGCUCAACGA
rnacentral:rRNA from 1 species